AUACUACUCCCUCCGUCCGGAAAUAGUUGUCAUCAAAAUGGAUUAAAGGGGAUGUAUCUAGAUGUAUUUUAGUUCUAGAUACAUCUUCUUUUAUCCAUUUUGAUGACAAGUAUUUUCGGACGGAGGGAGUACAAA
rnacentral:pre_miRNA from 1 species